GACGAACGCUGGCGGCGUGCUUAACACAUGCAAGUCGAACGAUGAACCCGGAGCUUGCUCUGGGGGAUUAGUGGCGAACGGGUGAGUAACACGUGAGUAACCUGCCCUGGACUCUGGGAUAAGCGUUGGAAACGACGUCUAAUACCGGAUAGGACCUUGGAUCGCAUGAUCUGGGGUGGAAAGUUUUUUCGGUCUGGGAUGGACUCGCGGCCUAUCAGCUUGUUGGUGAGGUAAUGGCUCACCAAGGCGUCGACGGGUAGCCGGCCUGAGAGGGUGACCGGCCACACUGGGACUGAGACACGGCCCAGACUCCUACGGGAGGCAGCAGUGGGGAAUAUUGCACAAUGGGCGAAAGCCUGAUGCAGCAACGCCGCGUGCGGGAUGACGGCCUUCGGGUUGUAAACCGCUUUUAGUAGGGAAGAAGGGCUUCGGCUUGACGGUACCUGCAGAAAAAGAACCGGCUAACUACGUG
rnacentral:rRNA from 1 species